rnacentral:misc_RNA from 1 species
GAUAAGCUUUGUAUCGAAAUAAUUUAUGAAUUUUAUGUAAACAUAACAAGGAUUCAAGAGCUAAGUGUGCUAUAGUUGGAUAGUUACCUGUAUAUGGUCCAAUGAAUUGAUAAAUUGCUUUCAGCUCUGGACCGCGAAAAUCUGCAGUGUCCUUGCAUGCUUGUUCUGGAGCAGCUCAUAGAUUUGGUCCCCGCGGACACCUUUUCACACGCACAUUUACCUAAUAGUAUCCUUGUGGUAGAACCAUGACAUUUGUUCAACGACAAGAUGAUUGAAUAGCAGAAAUGAUACUUAGUAGUAGAAACUCGAAGAGACACACAAA